rnacentral:rRNA from 1 species
UACGGAGGGUGCAAGCGUUAUCCGGAUUCACUGGGUUUAAAGGGUGCGUAGGCGGACAGGUAAGUCAGUGGUGAAAUCUCUGGGCUUAACCCAGAAACUGCCGUUGAUACUAUUUGUCUUGAAUAUCCUGGAGGUAGGCGGAAUAUGUCAUGUAGCGGUGAAAUGCUUAGAUAUGACAUAGAACACCGAUAGCGAAGGCAGCUUACUACAGAAUGAUUGACGCUGAGGCACGAAAGCGUGGGGAGCAAACAGG